rnacentral:rRNA from 1 species
UUAGAGGCAAACGGGUGGACCCGCAAUACGUCGACCCGGGGGAUUCAACCAGGCCGUGCGUUCGGGACGCGUGGGGGUUCUGCGGAGCUGUAAAGCCCGUGCCUUUGCGCAGGUCUCCGGGCGGACUGGUGCACUUUCCUCGGGUUGAUUGCCACGACCGGCUCUCCGUGCGGCCACAAGCCUUUGCUGGGAAGGUGACCGUCGGCCUCCGCGCCGGCGGUGUUAUAGACCAGCUUGUUCGUUGAGCUCGUCGGAGGGCCGAGGAAGUGUUGCCGUUUCUCGUCCACCCUCCGGCCAUCCUUGCUCGUCACGACUGGGGUGAACUGCUCCGUCAGUGCUCUCCCGACCGCGAGCGUAGGAAGGGCUGGUACGGUGCGAGAAAGCUUCGGGCCAGUGGCGAAUCGGUCGGUCCUCCACCCGACCCGUCUUGA